GCCCCCGUGGCGCAAUCGGUAGCGCGUGAGACUCUUAGUCUCUAGUAAAACCCCGAUUACGGGCCACUAUAUCUCAAGGUUGCGGGUUCGAGCCCCGCCGGAGGCU